rnacentral:rRNA from 1 species
CCGGGGUGGAGUAAUGUCUGGGAAACUGCCUGAUGGAGGGGGGUAACUACUGGAAACGGUAGCUAAUACCGCAUAACGUCUUCGGACCAAAGUGGGGGACCUUCGGGCCUCACGCCAUCGGAUGUGCCCAGAUGGGAUUAGCUAGUAGGUGGGGUAAUGGCUCACCUAGGCGACGAUCCCUAGCUGGUCUGAGAGGAUGACCAGCCACACUGGAACUGAGACACGGUCCAG